AUGUGGCUAAACCUUGUGUCCUUACUAGCAUUCCUCAAAGGAGUCCAGUCUCAAGUCCAGUUGGUGGAGUCUGGAGGGGAUGUGAGAAGACCUGGGGAGUCCCUCCAUCUUUCCUGCCAAGCCUCUGGAUUCACCUUCAGCAACUAUGGGAUGAUCUGGGUGAGACAGGCUCCUGGGAAAGGACUGGAAUGGGUUGCACGCAUCUAUACUGAUUCUAGUAAAAAGUUCUACUCAGACAAUGUGAAGGGCCGCUUCACCAUCUCCAGGGACAAUGCCAAAAGCCAGCUGUAUCUGCAAAUGAACAGCCUCAAAGCUGAAGACACGGCAAUCUAUUACUGUGCGAGAGACACAGUGAGUGGAAGUGAAUCUGAAGCCAAGCAAAAACCUUCCUUUCUUCAGAAAAGCUCUUCAACUUGA